CCCCGCCCCCGACGCGCCCGUCCGCUGGCUCCCGGGAGGAGCGGGGCGCGCGGCGGCGGCGGCGGCCGCUUGCGUUCCUUCGUACGGAGCCGAGCGGAGGGGGCCGGAAGUCCUGGGCCUCCCCGACCGGCCAGCGGCGUCGGUGCAGGCGCUCGGCGAAGGAGACGCGCGUGUUUUCGCACAGCAGCCGGAGACCGGGAGGGCUUUGCUAGCUAGCGGUGGCCGCGUUGUGUUGCGCGAGUGUUUGCCUGCCUGUGUGCCUGGAGCUGCUUCCCGGCCGGUGGCACCGUGACGAGCACUGGCUGCGGCGUUACGCCGGGUUCUAGCCACACGAUCGAGCCUGCGACCUUUUUGAAGUUUCAGCCGACUUGUCCACCCGUGACCCUGGAAUCGUGGGGUGCGUGAGGAAGUGUCGCCGGCUCACUAGCUGCUUGUACCCACACUUCCUCUGAAGGCUUUUAUCUGCAGCGGUUAGCCUGCAGCCGUUGUGCCUUAGCCACCCGAGUUAGAGCUCCAGGAAACCGUCCUCUCCCUCGUCGGUAUCCGCUAGUACCUCGAUGACCGACCAGCCUAAGACUGACAGAUGCCUGAGACUGAGCCCAGGGUUUUGGAGUUGAUGGCCAAUGCUCUUCUGCUAACUACAGCUCCAUCUCACAUCAAGGUUUCUGAAAAAACUAACCAGCUGUGUUUACUAAGGACAGAACAGUGCUUAGUUCAAGAAAGCUUUGUAACGCACUUCACUAUUAGGGGAAUAUAUGACGCAAACAGAACAACUAACACAAUCUAAAAUUUGCAUUUGUGGGUAUUAGAUAAAGUCUAUCCUAUUCUCUGAA